rnacentral:tRNA from 1 species
CAAAAAAUAGUUUAUCUAAAAUAAUAACUUUGGAAGUUAUAGAUCGGAAUAAAAUCCGUUUUUUGGCCA